rnacentral:lncRNA from 1 species
GUUUCUUUUAUUAUUUCGAUUGAAUUAUAAUCUAUUAUGUCUUAUCGUUUGUCAAUGUUUCCUCGGUUUUAGUUUGUAAUCCGCAGAUUUGCAUUCUCUCAAUCGAUUUAUGACUUUUGAACACCGGUAUACUACUGUUGUCUUUAUUAUAUUCCUUUUCGGUGCUAUACAAGGCAUUUGUAACCUGCCUCCUAAAUUCAUCUACUUCACGAAUAAGAUUGACUGCAUUUAACA